GCGCCGUGGUCUAGCGGUUAAGACGCCUGUCUAUUACCAUUCAAUUCAAAGCAGGAAACUGGGGGUUCGAUUCCCCUACGGUGCACCA
rnacentral:tRNA from 1 species